rnacentral:lncRNA from 1 species
AUUCUCGAACAUCAACUCAAAGCAAAAGCAAAUCUCACUUUAACUCAAUUAAAUUCUCAUGGCAAACCAUAGCCAAUAUCCUCAACAUAUAUUUAUUUCAUGCUCAAGAUUAUAUACUUAACUGAUUUCACACAAUUAACACAUAGAUUUAUUAAUAACCCUAGUUUUUAUUAAACUAAAUCCUUUGAAAAUAUCACUAAUCAUGUAUAACCUAUUGAUCAAAUCAUAGAUCUAACAUCCUAGGUUACCAAUUAGCACAAAUCAACAUCAUAUAACAAGAUCACAUAUAGAUACACAUAUAUGUCAUCUUCUUCCUCAAACUAACACUUUUCAUUUUUCACUUCUCAACCUCAAGCUUCAAUCUCAUCCAUCAUUAAUCAUCUAGAUCAUCUCAUAAACUCAAAUCCAUCAUCAAUACAUCAAUUGAUCCAUAGGAUCUCAACAUCCUAAUUUUAGGUAAACUAACCUAAUAGAAAAUCUAUAUCUCAUGGCUAAUCAUCAAGAUAUUCAUAUAUAUCAUCCCAAUAAUCAUCAAUCAUCAUAUAACUCAAGCCAAUUCAAGAAAAUAAACAACAAAAUUUCGUAGGGUUUCAAGCCCCAAAUUUUCGAAAAUUUCAUAGAAAUAAGUUGGGUGAUUUUCUUGCUCAAUCAUGAUCAUAUACUCAUUCACAUAUCAUUAAUAUGAUCAAAUAAAUAAUCUAAGAUCACUUACUCAAGGAUUUAAAAGGUGAUCAAGACUUUGCUCCAACUUUGAUCUUAGCUCUAGCUUCUUGAAUUUGAUGAGAUAUGCUAGUAUUUGAUUGGAUUGGAUGGUGGAUUAUUUCAUAGUAGUGUUUGAUGAAGCUUCUCUAAGCUUUCUUCAAUGGACAACAAUGGAGGAAAAGAGAGUAUUGAGAGAGAGAGAGGGGGGUCGAGAAUGGGGAAGAGAAGGGAGGGGGUGUGCGUGAGUUCUUGGUAGAAUUAGGAUGAAUAACUUGAUCAAAUAUCUAAUCCCACUUGUAUCAAAAUAUUAUCCCAACAUUUUCACUUUACAAUUAAUGCAUGUCCCCUUAACUCCAACCUCCUAAUCCACUUGCCAUUUAAGAUAUAAGCAUGUGGUAAAAAAAAAAUAUCUCAAGUGUAGUAUUAGUGGAAUUAAUGUAAUUAUGUAUCUCUCUCUUGAUAAAAUAAAACUACACUUUAUUUACUCAUGUGAUAAAAUAAAAUAAUAGUAACACCAAAAAUAGUGUACUCGAAAAUAUCACAUCUCAUGUCUCAGUAAAAUAUUUCUCAUAAAAUACUGAUAUGCAAAAUAAUAAUA